CACUCUAUAAGUACAUUGGAUAUAGUUAGCGCAAGGCUCUAUAUGAGCCAUACCCUCUGCUCGGAUCUAUCCUUACGAUCCGAGCAUUUUUU
rnacentral:sRNA from 1 species